rnacentral:rRNA from 1 species
UCGGCAUCGACCAGAGGGAAAAGGAGCAAUCCGCUUUGAGAUGGCCUCGCGUCCGAUUAGCUAGUUGGUGAGGUAAUGGCCCACCAAGGCGACGAUCGGUAGCCGGACUGAGAGGUUGAACGGCCACAUUGGGACUGAGACACGGCCCAGACUCCUACGGGAGGCAGCAGUGGGGAAUAUUGCACAAUGGGGGAAACCCUGAUGCAGCGACGCCGCGUGGAGGAAGAAGGUCUUCGGAUUGUAAACUCCUGUUGUUGAGGAAGAUAAUGACGGUACUCAACAAGGAAGUGACGGCUAACUACGUGCCAGCAGCCGCGGUAAAACGUAGGUCACAAGCGUUGCCCGGAAUUACUGGGUGUAAAGGGAGCGCAGGCGGGAAGACAAGUUGGAAGUGAAAUCUAUGGGCUCAACCCAUAAACUGCUUUCAAAAUUGUUUUUCUUGAGUAGUGCAGAGGUAGGCGGAAUUCCCGGUGUAGCGGUGGAAUGCGUAGAUAUCGGGAGGAACACCAGUGGCGAAGGCGGCCUACUGGGCACCAACUGACGCUGAGGCUCGAAAGUGUGGGUAGCAAACAGGAUUAGAUACCCUGGUAGUCCACACCGUA